rnacentral:rRNA from 1 species
GACGAACGCUGGCGGCGUGCUUAACACAUGCAAGUCGAACGGGAAGGCCCUGCUUGUGUGGGGUGCUCGAGUGGCGAACGGGAGGGUAACACGGGAGUAACCUGCCCUUGACUUUGGGAUAACUUCAGGGAACUAGGGCUAAUACCGGAUAGGAGCUACUGCUUCAUGGUGGGGGAUGGAAUGUUUCGUCGGUUGGGGAUGGACUCGCGUCGGAUCAGCUUGCUGGUGGGGUAGUGGCUUACCAAGGCUUUGACGGGUAGCCGGCCUGAGAGGGUGACCGGCCACAUUGGUUCUGAGUUACGCCCGAGACUCCUUCGGGCGGCAGCCGUGGGGAGUGUUGCUCGAUGGGCGGAGGCAUGAUGCAGCAACCCCGCGUGCGUGAUGAAGGCCUUCGGGUUGUUCGCCGCGUUCUGUUGUGACGAAUCGUGAGUGACGGUAAUGGGUAAGGAAGCACCGGCUAACUACGUG